rnacentral:rRNA from 1 species
UACGGAGGGUGCAAGCGUUGUCCGGAUUUAUUGGGCGUAAAGGGUGCGUAGGCGGCGCGGUAAGUCGGAUGUGAAAUCUCGGAGCUUAACUUCGAAACUGCAUUCGAUACUGCCGUGCUUGAGGACUGGAGAGGAGUCUAGAAUUCACGGUGUAGCAGUGAAAUGCGUAGAUAUCGUGAGGAAUACCAAGUGCGAAGGCAGGACUCUGGACAUUUUCUGACGCUGAGACACGAAGGGCUAGGGGAGCAAACGGG